CCUGUGAAGUUCGUCGUCCAUCUUCUUUGAUUUUUUCAUUAGGUGACGAACUUUUCUUCUCAGAUCUCGGAUCAUAGACUUCAAAGGAAUCCCCUGCGGUAGGGGAAGAGCUUCGACAGGGCACUGCUGUUGGGAAACAAGAGCGUCACAACGCAAAUCAUUGUAAAAAAAAAAAGAAAAAGGAAGUAGAAGAAGAAAAAGGAGC
rnacentral:lncRNA from 1 species